UGGAGUCUCUGUCUCUGAGUGCACCAGUGCCUUCAUGGGUUCCGUCUAGAGGGAUGUGUUCCGCCCCCUUGCUCUCUAGCCUUCCACCACAUGACGGCACAGCAGGUGCUCAUGUCUCCAUCUGGUUCCCACCUCCAGAAACAUGAGCCCAACGAACGAACUUCUUCUCAUUUCUACCAGGCCGUGGUGCUCUGUCAUAGCAGCAAACGUGGACUAGUACAAGUUGCCGAUGAAGUCAAGGAAGACACCUUCACUGCUUUGGAUCUUGACUCCCACUUCAACGCCUCCUGAGAGACAGAGAGGAUGACGGUGUGGUGUGCCACAGUCAUCCCAGCCCACCUGGAAGAGAAACCCAGGGCUGCUUCCUGAACAGUGGGUUCCUAGCUCCUGGGGAGUGAGGAGCAUGUGAGUCAUCAGGGAAGUAUUUCCUUCCUCACUGUGAGUUAGGAUGGGACGCUCCUCAAACCCAACGCCUGUCUGGGAGUUGUACCGGUGCUCCCUCCAGCAGGUUUAUGAGCCAAAUGAAUGAGCGGGGGAGCAGGCUUGAGGGACCCGAGGGGCUGGGCCCCCACCACUAGAAAGUGCCCCAUGAGGCCAGGUGUUCUCGCAGCUGGAGGGUCCCUAACAGCUCACGGUUGUCCUGCGGCUGCUCCUGGUGACCGCUGCAGCCUGUUCCACGGUGCUGGGUCAGGAGGGAGGUGAGCCAGCCGCACCGUGGAAGAAGUGGAGAUUCCCAGGUGAUGGGGGAGAGCCUGAGGGUGGCUGGAGGAGGAGGGACACUCUGGGGCAAGAACUUGCGCCUGGGACAAGAGCGAGCGCAUUGGGGAAAGUGGCUUUUUACAGGACUUCAGCAGAGAGAGUUUCCUUUUAGAUUCAGGAGGAACCAAUAUCGAAAAUUUGUUUGCCUUUCUCUAAAGAAAUGUGCAGAGACUUCAGAAGACACCCUGUGUGUCGGUGCAGGUAGACGGGUCUGGGGCAGGAGUGUGGGUGCGUUGGGGACGUGUGGCGAGGGCAGAGCCUUCACUGUCCUCUGUGAGCCACUGGCAAGGGUAGCACCUACUGGCCCACAGGGAUGCAGGGACAGGGCAGGCACCCAAGACCCUGUGCAGCUGGAACUGCGGUGACUUCAGGUGAUGAUUCUCCGCUCUGGAAACGCAAUGAGCGCACUCAGGCAUCUUAAUAAAAAUAGCUCAGGAGCCA